GCGCGUGUAGCUCAGUGGUUAGAGCGCCGCCCUUAUAAGACGGACGUCGAUGGUUCGAUUCCAUCCACGCGCA
rnacentral:tRNA from 2 species